ACUCCUACGGGAGGCAGCAGUGGGGAAUCUUGGACAAUGGGGGCAACCCGUGAUCCAGCCAUGCCGCGUGAGCGAUGAAGGCCUUAGGGUUGUAAAGCUCUUUCACCGGUGAAGAUAAUGACGGUAGCCGGAGAAGAAGCCCCGCUACUCCGUGCCAGCAGCCGCGGUAAUACGGAGGGGCGUAGCGUUGUUCGGAAUUACUGGGCGU
rnacentral:rRNA from 1 species